rnacentral:rRNA from 1 species
AUGAACGCUGGCGGCGUGCUUAACACAUGCCAGUCGAACGGGAAACCUUUUAUUGAAGCUUCGGCAGAUUUAGCUGGUUUCUAGUGGCGGACGGGUGAGUAACGCGUGGGUAACCUGCCUUAUACAGGGGGAUAACAACCAGAAAUGGUUGCUAAUACCGCAUAAGCGCACAGGACCGCAUGGUCCGGUGUGAAAAACUCCGGUGGUAUAAGAUGGACCCGCGUUGGAUUAGCUAGUUGGCAGGGUUACGGCCUACCAAGGCGACGAUCCAUAGCCGGCCUGAGAGGGUGAACGGCCACAUUGGGACUGAGACACGGCCCAGACUCCUACGGGAGGCAGCAGUGGGGAAUAUUGCACAAUGGGGGAAACCCUGAUGCAGCGACGCCGCGUGAAGGAAGAAGUAUCUCGGUAUGUAAACUUCUAUCAGCAGGGAAGAUAGUGACGGUACCUGACUAAGAAGCCCCGGCUAACUACGUG